UACGGAGGGUGCAAGCGUUAUCCGGAUUCACUGGGGUUAAAGGGUGCGUAGGCGGGUAUAUAAGUCAGUGGUGAAAGCUCCGGGCUUAACUUGGAAACUGCCAUUGAUACUGUAUAUCUUGAAUGUCGUAGAGGUUAGCGGAAUGUUGCAUGUAGCGGUGAAAUGCUUAGAUAUGUUACAGAACACCAAUUGCGAAGGCAGCUAACUAUGCGAUGAUUGACGCUGAGGCACGAAAGCGUGGGGAGCAAACAGG
rnacentral:rRNA from 1 species